rnacentral:rRNA from 1 species
UUCAUAAAGUUUACUUUAAGAAGUGACUUAGUGGCGGACGGGUGAGUAACGCGUGAGCAACCUGCCUUUGCAACCGGGAUAACAGUUGGAAACGACUGCUAAUACGGGAUGACGUACACGGACCGCAUGAUCUGUGUACCAAAGAUGCGUCGUGCAAAGAUGGGCUCGCGUCUGAUUAGAUAGUUGGCGGGGUAACGGCCCACCAAGUCGACGAUCAGUAGCCGGACUGAGAGGUUGAACGGCCACAUUGGAACUGAGAUACGGUCCAGACUCC